GGAUUAGAUACCCUGGUAGUCCACGCCGUAAACGAUGUCUACUAGCCGUUGGGAUCCUUGAGAUCUUAGUGGCGCAGCUAACGCACUAAGUAGACCGCCUGGGGAGUACGGUCGCAAGAUUAAAACUCAAAUGAAUUGACGGGGGCCCGCACAAGCGGUGGAGCAUGUGGUUUAAUUCGAUGCAACGCGAAGAACCUUACCUGGUCUUGACAUCCACAGAACUUUCCAGAGAUGGAUUGGUGCCUUCGGGAACUGUGAGACAGGUGCUGCAUGGCUGUCGUCAGCUCGUGCUG
rnacentral:rRNA from 1 species